rnacentral:tRNA from 1 species
GGACGUGGCUCAAGUGGUAACGCGCUCGCCUGGCAUGCGCGGGGCGCUGGGUUCAAUCCUCAGCACCA